rnacentral:rRNA from 1 species
AUGCACGCUGGCGGCGUGCCUAAUACCUGCAAGUCGAGCGAACGGACGAGAAGCUUGCUUCUCUGAUGUUAGCGGCGGACCGGUGAGUAACACGUGGAUAACCUACCUAUAAGACUGGGAUCACUUCGGGAAACCGGAGCUCAUCCCGGAUAAUAUUUUGAACCGCAUGGUUCAAAAGUGAAAGACGGUCUUGCUGUCACUUAUAGAUGGAUCCGCGCUGCAUUAGCUAGUUGGUAAGGUAACGGCUUACCAAGGCAACGAUGCAUAGCCGACCUGAGAGGGUGAGCGGCCACACUGGAACUGAGACACGGUCCAGACUCCUACGGGAGGCAGCAGUAGGGAAUCUUCCGCAAUGGGCGAAAGCCUGACGGAGCAACGCCGCGUGAGUGAUGAAGGUCUUCGGAUCGUAAAACUCUGUUAUUAGGGAAGAACAUAUGUGUAAGUAACUGUGCACAUCUUGACGGUACCUAAUCAGAAAGCCACGGCUAACUACGUG